AACAUUUAAAUAUAUAUAUAUACCAAUAGUUAAUCAUUCCAUUAUUACGUUGUCUGUUAUAUACUUAUUUGUGGUCUUGUAAUCUUCUUCUUCACCUACAUCUAUUGCUUUUUUAUUGCUCCUCUAUUGCUCUUCUAUUGCUCUUGUAUUACUCCUCUAUUGCUCUUCUAUUGCUCUUGUAUUACUCCUCUAUUGCUCUUCUAUUGCUCUUGUAUUACUCCUC
rnacentral:lncRNA from 1 species